UACGUAGGGUGCAAGCGUUAAUCGGAAUUACUGGGCGUAAAGCGUGCGCAGGCGGUUUCGUAAGUCUGUCGUGAAAUCCCCGGGCUUAACCUGGGAACUGCAUUUGUGACUGGCAAGCUAGAGUAUGGCAGAGGGGGGUAGAAUUCCACGUGUAGCAGUGAAAUGCGUAGAUAUCGGAAGGAACAUCAGUGGCGAAAGCGACUUCCUGGACCAAUACUGACGCUCAUGUGCGAAAGCGUGGGGAGCAAACAGG
rnacentral:rRNA from 1 species